AGGUGUCUCAGCUCCUCAUCUAGUGUUACAUUAUGCAGCAAAAUGCAGGUCUUGGGUCUCUUCUCCUGAAGCUUUCUUGCUGCACUCCAGGGGAACUACCUUGUUUCUGAACAUCCUUGUUUUGAAACUAAUCUUCCCCUGGCCUCCUUGAGGUCUUUGUGCAAUUAGGCAUGGGAACCAAGUUAAGGAUGUAGUAACUACUGUCCUGAGUACUUUUACCAAUGGUUUGCAUCUUUGCUCUGCCAGUGGCAGAGCAACGAGGGGCUUAACUCUUCAUAUAAAUCCAUUCUGAGGUAGGGACUCCACUGUUGGAAAAUGAAACAAGGUUAGAGUAUAGACAGUUAGAACAACUUUUUUACAGCAAAGUCCCAUUUAGUAGUGCCUCUGAAUUGCAAACAGCUCCAUUCCUUUCUGAAAAUUAUGAUACGUUUCCCUCAGCAGCAAUAACCACUUCUAGCAAAUUUAAUUCCUCCUGCAUAUCUUCAGUGAUUCACACUUUUGUCUCACUGUAGCUUGCUGUGAGCACUGCUUUUCCUCUUAAAACCAAGUUCUGUGUCUGUGGUUCUUGUGACCCUCAUUCCUUGAGGAGGAUCAUUAUCUAAGAAUGAGGUAUAGUCCUUUAGUCUAGUCCUCGAGUCCCACUGGCUUUCUGAAGCAGACAGAGUGGAGUAGGUCCACUCAAAACAUUGUGUAUAAAUCAGUCCAUUCUCUCCAGUGCUGAGGAUAAGUUAUAAACAGUACAGAAUGGUGGGGAAACUGAGUAAAUUAAAAUUAGUCUCACAAAGUCCAAAAUAUAAAUAAAGUCUCAGCGUUGCAAAACCUUAUUCUGUUGUCUAUUAAACUGUGCUUCAAAAAUCAGAGAAUGUUUGAGAUUGGAAGGGACCUCUGGAGGUCAUGUGGUCCAACCUCCCUGUUCAAGCAGAGUCACAACAGCCGGUUGCCCAGGACCAUGUCCAGAUGCCUUUUGAAUAUCUCCAGGGAAAGAGACUCCUCAACACAAAUGUAUAAAACUAUGUAUUGUGACAGUUUGGGAAACUAACUUUUUUUUUUAAAUGGGCAGUUUUUUAUUUGCUUUUCAUUACAGCUGAUGCUAUAGUCAAACUGCAAACUGAUGCUAAGGGUGUGCAAUAGGAUUUUCACUGUUCUAUAUAAGGUUUGCCUGAUGUGUUUCCUGGGCCUGAGGGAAUAACAUAACUCAUGCUUAAGUGGAAUCUUAAGUUUCACGAACACCUAAUUGAGUGAAGUGCAUUUAUCUUAUGUUUGAAACUGAGACUACCAUGAGAGCAUUAGGGGUGAGGGGAAGGAGGGAGAGAAAAAAUUGCUUGAAUUAAGUAUUCCAUUCUACUAAGUUGCUAAUGUCCUAGUUAGAACACCUGGGACCAGUUCAUCACUGGAUGGGUGUAACCCAAAACUGUGUAUUCUAUAGCCUUCCAUGCCAUCUCCCAGGAACUGUUAUCAAUAGACCAUUUACACCAUCUGCCCAGAGCACAGCCUGACUCCUCAGGCUACAAACUGGGUGUUAAGAGGCCUUUGAGAUAGGAGGAUGCUCCUGUCCUCACACCCAUAGUGGAACUCCCCGCCCUGAGGGAGGUACUGGGCAUUCCUGCCUGAACUGGAGGAUAUAUAAUCUUGGAGUCUUGGGACUUUUUUAACCACUCAUGGGAUUCAGAGGAAGACUGCAGACCACCAUUCUCAACCAGACUGCAACCAUCACUCUCGACUGCACUGCAAUCACCACUCUUGACCAGACUGCAACAGCACUCUCACUAACAGGUUUUUUCCCUCCCCUUUUGCUUUGGACUCAGGGGGCCCAAUGAACACCAUUUUGUUCAUGCCCCAGGGUGGUGGGUUAUAUGUUUGGGUUUUGUGGGUUAAAAACAACUGUUUGUCUGUAUAAUUGUAUUUAUUGUAUUAUUUUAUUAAAUUGUUAUUCUGACUUAUAAUCUCUCCUUUGAGUUGAGUUCAUUUCCCCUGCCCCUUCCUUUAAACCAGCACAGCUAAUACGCUAGAAGUUAAUUAGACUUUGUUCCUACAAGUAUUUCUGCAAAAUACAGUGGGUUUUUUUUUUUCUGAAUGAGCAAGAAACAAGGUUCUCUGUGCUUCUAGGAAAGUUAUAAAGUUUAACUCUGAAUAAAAUCUCUCUGAACACUAAUGUAUAAACACCUUUCACAAGAGACUGAGCAAACAUUUUCAUUAGUUUAUCACAGGAAUUUGGUCAGAGGGGAACUUUGUAGGCCAUGUGUUCCAACUGCCCACUUGCUAACCCUGGAUCAUACCAGCUCUUGUUUACCCUGGGUCAGCUCAGCUCUGCAUCUUCCAACUGGUCUGGUUCUACAAGAAGGGCCAGAAGGAGUAUCCAGGGAACUACAGGCUUGUUAGCCUGACCUUGUGGAAGAUCAUGGAGCAGAUCAUCAUCAGUGCCAUCAUGCAGGACAUACAGAAUAACCAAGGGAUCAGCCCGAGCCAGCAUGUGUUUGAGGAAGGCAGGUCCUGUUUGACCAACCUGAUCUCCUUCUAUGACAAGGUAACCCACUUUGUAGAUGAGGCUGAGGCUGUGGAUGUUGUCUGUCUGGACUUUAGUAAAUCCUUUGGCAUCAUUUCCCACAACAUUCUCCUGAAGGAACUGGCUUCCCAUGGUAUGGAUGGGUCCACUCUUCACUGGGUGAAAUCUGUCUGGAUGGCCCAGAGAGUGAUGGUGAACGGAGUUACAUCCAGCUGGCAGCUGGUCAGCGGCGGUGUUCCCCAGGGCUCAGGAUUGGGGCCAGCCUUGUUCAAUAUCUUUAUCAAUAACCUGGAUAAGAGGAUCCAGUGCAACCUCAGUAAGUUUACUGAUGACACCAACUUGGGCAGGAGUGUUGAUCUGCCAGAAGGCAGGAAGGCUCAGUGGAGAGAUAUGGAUAGGAUGGAUUGAUGGGCUGAGGGCAACAGUUCCAUAAGACAAAGUGCUGGGCCCUGCACUUGGGUCACAACAACCCCAUGCAGUGCUACAGUUUGGGGGCAGAGUGGCUGGAAAGCUGUCCAGAAGAAAAGGACAUAGGGGUGCUGGUUGACAGCCAGCAUUGUGUCCAGGCAGACAAAAAGCCAAUGGCAUCCUGGAUUGUAUGAGUAGUGUGGCCAGAAGGAUCAGGGAAGUGACUGUCCCCCUGUACUCAGCACUGGUGAGGCCACACCUUGAAACCUGUGUUCAGCUUUAGCCCCCUCAUGACAAGAAAGACACUGAGGUGCUGGAGCAUGUCCAGAAAAGGGCAGCAGAGCUGGUGAAGGCUCUGGAGCACAAGUCUUAUGAGGAGCAGCUGAGGGAACUAGGGAUGUUUCGGCUGGAGAAAAGGAGGCCGAGAGGAGACCUUAUCAUUCUCUACAACUGCCAGAAUAUUGUACUGAAGUGGGGUUCAGUCUCUUAUACCAGGCAACAAGUGACUGGACAAAAGGAAAUGGCCUCAAGUUGCACCAGGGGAGGUUUAGACUGGAUGUUAGGAAAAAAGUCUUCAUGGAAAGGGUGGUCAAGCACUGUAAUAGGCUGCCCAGGGAAGUGGUUGAGUUGCCAUCUCUGGAGGUAUUUAAAAGACACUUAGGGUCAUGCUUUAGUGGUGGACUUGGCAAUACUGGGUUAACAGUUGGACUUGAUCUUUAAUAUCAUUUCCAGCCUAAAUGAUUCUAUGAUCCUAGAAGACAUACUAUUCUUUAUUAGAAAUUUGCCUGCAUUAAAUAAGUGACUUAGUUCUGAAUCAUUUGCAACAAAUUUCUUGGCAUAUAUUUUAUGUUUUCUCUCUUAAGAGUAUGAUUUCUUUCUUCAUAACUUUGAGGGUUUGAUACCAUGCAUUUCUCAGAACAAAUGUUCCAGAUAAUUUGAUGUUAGUUGUUGUCAGGCGCAAAAUCCAGACUUAGUCCACCUUCCUCAAUAUCUACAAGCAUAUGGCAUGAUUGGAUUUCACCUACCUAAUGCAAAGACAAAAAAAGGAAAUUCUGGAAUGCACAUAUCCAUUGGUAAGAAGCUACUCUGUUCCAUGGGGGUUGUGCCAACUGACCACCAUGUUAUGGAUCAGUGCAAAGCACAGUUGUGAAGUAGAGUUAUUGGGCUAUGGAGUCUCCAACACUGCAGGUAUGGAAAAAGAAGUUAGACAAACAUUAGCCCCAAAUAACGUAGCUAUCGUUGAUCCCAUUUUGAGAGAAGUGAUAGACUGGAUGGUCACUUGAGGUUUCUUCUUCUAUAUUGCUUUUAUUAAUUCUUCUACAAUCCAAUCCAAAUUGUUAUUAUACUAAUAUCUGUGAGAGGAGAAGCUGAAACAGCAAGGCAAGAAUGGCAAUCAGAGUAAAAAAUUGCUAAAGAAAAAAGUCUGCUACCAUAGCUCAUCUGGCUGAGCAGACACUAAAGAUGUGACUGAUUUUUCUUUAGAGGCAUAUGGAAGGAAACAAGAAAAAACAUGGAAAAGAAAAAUAGAUUAUACAAGUUGCAUUAAUAAUCCAUUUUAUUUCACCAGCCAAAUUCAUAUUUCUUUAAAAAAAGAACAGUAGUAUAGCUAUGGUGAAAAUGUGCAUUUUGCUUGCUAUUCAAAAAGUGCCUUAUUGAAUUAAAUUUAUAAAUGAAAGAAACACUACAACAUCUAUCAGGUGGAUUCCCCAUAAAUCUUAAAUUGGCACACUCAAACAUAUAUUCCAAGUUAGAUGGAAUUAUAAUGAGAGCAGAGAAAGAUUUAGUAAGGUUAGAGAGUCAUAGAGAGUGGAAACAGUGCUGAAUGAGGAUGAUAACUGAGUACAGCAGGGUACCACACUGCUAAGACUUCAGUUUGAGCACGUUUCAGAGAGAACAAGAACAAAAGCACACAGUAAUUUAUGCAGUUGCUACAGUUAUUACAUAAGUACUCACUCAUUCAAAUAACAAAGAAAAAACCCAAAUUGGUGUUAUACUGGAAUAAAAGAUGAGUAAACACUUGUUGCAGAAAGGAUGCCUGACUAAGAAGUCCAAGCAUGAGCCAUAUGCAUACCCUCUGCAAGAGACCUCGGAAUACUGAUUAAAGGUAUAGUAUUUUAAAGUAUUGAUCAAAACAUUUAACAUUUUAUAUUAGGUCAAAGAAUGUUGCUUGAACACUCUGUUCACUACUUAUUUUUCAGGGAUCCCAAAGCAGGAAAUAGUUUGAAGAACUUCAGAAAUUUGGACCUCCUAACAGGUUACAGGAUAUUUUAUUGUAUUUGCGCUUUUCAAGGAAGAUUUGGAGCAUGUAGUUGGCAGCUGCUGGACUCUGUUCCAAGUUCUGCAAUAAAAAUAGUGGAGCCCAGUGAGAUCUUUAGCUGACUGCUUUGUCUUUAGAUGCCCACUUUAUGGUUACUUUAAUACUUUCAGAACAUAAUUCAUUAGAUUAAUUGACCAAGCAUUCAAUGAAGUUGUCCACAUAGGGACAUACAGUACUGUAUGAGAUGCCAGAGGAUGUCAAAGACAUCCUCUUGAAAAUGGGAGGUAAUACAGACAUUUGUAGGACUAUUGUACCUUGUACACUGAUGGAGCAGCAGCUGGAAGCAAGGCAAGAUACUCCAAGGCUGGACACCUCUGUACAACCAAUUUAAUUGAGUCCUACAUCUCUGUUGGUUAUGAGGGAAGCCUGGACACAUGGAUCACAUGGAGGCACUGAGAGUGAGUACGUAAGUGUACAUCUGCAAUGAGAAUGCAAAUCCUACUGCAGACUUUUAAAUUGGCAACAAUGCCAUUCUGAAAACUUCAUGGCACUUGCCUUCUUUUUCAAAAGUCCCGAAGAUCUGCAACUCUAGGUGUCUAAGCAGCUGAAAAAUAUCCAGAUUCUGAGUCAAAAGUAUAAGAAAGUAUAACAAAGUAUCUGGAAAUACAAGGAAGAUUAAGGCAAUCAUUCCCAUGAAGUGGAGAAUGCUCAAGAGAGAGACUGUCAAAAGGAGCCAUGGCCUUUUCAGGACAGCAUCUUUUUCUCUGGAAAUACAGGAAAAUUUCUUUGCAAUUACUUGAUAAAAAUUUCUGAUCUCUCUGCUAUACAACUGGCAUUUCAUUAUUUCUCUGUUCACUUCAGUAGGAGCUGCAGGGCUUCCAGAGGUAUUGAAAAUAAGGCAAUGGAUGUAAAUUCUAAAUAUGGAUUUAGUAAUCUAAUUUAGAGAUCAAAAACAAUACUAAGUCUUUCUACAGGUGUUAGUUACUCUUUAUGCAUGCCCAUUCUGCCAUAGUAUGCCCACAGUAUAUGGGCUAAGUCUAUUGUAUUAUACAAUUAAUAAUAAAAUAAGCCAUCUUGUUCAUUAGUCAGGUAAAGAAUUUAUUGUUUGAGCAUUUAAAAUCUCUUUUAUUGUGAACACUAAGAGUUUAUGUAGCUUGGUAUUCAAGUAAUUGUGUACAAGAAUAUGAAAAGUUUAUGUGCAAGUCACUUUUUGAUGUCAAGAAAAUAAUUUCUAGCUGUUAAAAGCAAAGCACAAUAGUUUAUAUUUACAGGGGGGGAAAAAAAAGAUGAGUUAAUCUCUUUGUCACAGCGAGAACCCUCUAUACAGAACUUUCCAUUGUCUCUCCUAGGAAAAACUGAACUGUCAUUUUAAUGGAUUUAGAUAUAAUCUAUUUUUAGGAAAUAAUUUUUUCCUUUUUUCUUUUUUUAGUCAAAAAUUGCACAGGUAUUCAGAUAUCUCUGUUGUUUUCUGACAGUGUUAUAUGGUAUCAUCCUCCAUAAUAUAAUGCUUAAAAUCCAUUGGCAUUAAAAUGUUCAUGAUUUGCCUAAGAUGAGCUGUGUUUUAUAAGACAUGUAGUAAUUUUCUUAAAUGUCAUGAUGCUUCAGUUCAGUGUAGUAUAACCUCAUGCUUUUUAUAACAAGUGUAGCACAAUGUAUUUUUUUCUGGCAUGCUAAUCUGACAGGCAGUGAUGACACUGAUAAGCAUUCUAAGCUUCUUGUUUUUGUUCCAGAUCUCACUUUGGAUUCAUACUUCUAUCAUUUAUGUGUUUAUAUCCAAAAGAAGGAGAAAAAACACAGAAGAGUGAAAAACAAAGUCACAUGCCAUGUACACCUUUUGCAAUCAACCAUGCUCAUUCCAUGCUGUCAAGGCCAGCAUUUAUCUACAGCAGACUGGCAAAUUGAGUGGUUACUCACAUGAUGUAUAAUUUUUUUAAUCUUUUUUUUUUUAAAAAAGGAGAUUCUAUUCAAUAAAAAGUAUGGAAUAUUACCAGUUGGGUCUUGUGUUUCUCUGGAUGGUUGCAUAACACAAAAUGAGCAGUAAGGAUUGCACAGUGUAAACUUAAAAUUGAAGCAUUCCUGGAAUGUUAAAAUAUGUUUCCAGUGUUGAAAUUCCAUCUCUCAGGCGUCAGAAUAUUUGUGUGAGCUAUUUCAGUGGAAACAUCUCUUUUUCUUAAGCAAAUCAAUUCCAUUGUAGCCAUCAAGAUAAAGAUAUGCAUGCUCUGUUUAGCUGUAGCACACUUACUAGCCAACAAAUAUUCAUCUCUGCCAAAAUGUGUAAAAUGUAAAAUGUGUUUGCCAAAACAAAAUGAACUGUGAGCAAACAAGUGAGAAAACCCACACAGCAAAAUGCUGCAAGUUGAAUGCAUUCACAGAGAGCAGACAUUUCAUUUGCAGGAUAUCAGCAACGUGCAGCUUUUCAUUUCAUACCAUAUAUGGUUCCAGUUAUUUAGAACACUCAAAGUUAUGCUGUAAGUCUUAAAUGUGUACAUACAACCCUGAAAGGGACUAAAACUGCUGUUGUACUUGUCCUAUUCCCUUCUUUAUUGCUGAGAAGCUGGUUUUACUGAGGAUUAGUGCAUUGCUUCAGCCCUUUCACACUUUGUGAACUCUUGAGGGACCAUAAGUUCUACAGCAAACUGGAUAAAAAAGUUGUAAAUGGCCCUUGCUAAGGCAUGAAGGAGGUUCAUUGGAUGACUGGUUGUGUUGCAGAGCGAGGACCAUUGCUUUGGACAUGUUUUCAUGGAAAGUACAUUGCUCUUUUAUUAUUUUUGUCUGUUAUUAUUGAAGAACUUGGUUCCCACAAAGCAAAGCUGACUUUUCUGAAUAUGCUACCUCUGAAAUUAUCAUUUAUACUGAAAACUCUCUGUCAUCAUAUUUAUAUUUCUUUGUA